rnacentral:rRNA from 1 species
GCUUGUCUCAAAGAUUAAGCCAUGCAUAUCUAAGAAUAACUAACAUUAUCUUGAAUCUGUGAAUGGCUCAUUAUAUCAGUUAUAGUUUACAUGAUAGUCAAUACUACUUGGAUAACCGUAGUAAUUCUAGAGCUAAUACGUGCGUAAAUCCCGACUUCUGGAAGGGACGUAUUUAUUAGAUAAAAGGCCGACCGGGCUCUGCCCGACUCGCGGUGAAUCAUGAUAACUUCACGAAUCGCACGGCCUCGUGCCGGCGAUGUUUCAUUCAAAUUUCUGCCCUAUCAACUUUUGAUGGUAGGAUAGAGGCCUACCAUGGUGGUAACGGGUGACGGAGGAUUAGGGUUCGAUUCCGGAGAGGGAGCCUGAGAAACGGCUACCACAUCCAAGGAAGGCAGCAGG